rnacentral:tRNA from 1 species
GGGGGUGUAGCUCAGUGGUAGAGCAACGGCCUUUUAAGCCGUGUGCCGAGGGUUCGAUUCCCUCCACCCUCACCA